GUAGGGUCCGAGCGUUAUCCGGAAUCAUUGGGCGUAAAGAGCUCGUAGGCGGUUCAGCAAGUCGGCUGUGAAAGUUCGAGGCUCAACCUCGAAAUUGCAGUCGAUACUGCUGUGACUCGAGUCCGGUAGAGGAGAAUGGAAUUCCCGGUGUAGCGGUGAAAUGCGCAGAUAUCGGGAGGAACACCAGUAGCGAAGGCGGUUCUCUGGGCCGGCACUGACGCUGAGGAGCGAAAGCGUGGGGGGAGCAAACAGGAUUAGAUACCCUGGUAGUCCACGCCGUAAACGUUGGAUGCUAGGUGUGGCGGUCUACCAACGACUGCUGUGCCGAAGCUAACGCAUUAAGCAUCCCGCCUGGGAGUACGGCCGCAAGGCUA
rnacentral:rRNA from 1 species